rnacentral:rRNA from 1 species
GACAGAGGGGGCAAGCGUUGCUCGGAAUCACUGGGCGUAAAGGGCGCGUAGGCGGCCCGGUAAGUAGGAGGUGAAAUCCUGCGGCUUAACCGCAGGGCUGCCUUCUAAACUGCCAGGCUUGAGCACAGUAGAGGCAGGUGGAAUUCCCGGUGUAGCGGUGGAAUGCGUAGAGAUCGGGAAGAACAUCGGUGGCGAAGGCGGCCUGCUGGGCUGUUGCUGACGCUGAGGCGCGACAGCGUGGGGAGCAAACAGG